ensembl:lncRNA
AAUGAUGACUUCCCGGAUGGGUGGUUCUGGGGGUGGGAUGGGUGGCCCUUGUGAAGCGUUUGGCAUUUGGCUUCUUCUCUGCUGUUGCUGUUCUGGUCACGGCUGCCGUGCUGUCUGUGCCCAGCCCUCUUCGGCCUUAUUAAAACCCUCAGAGCCUGUGCCCACUGGGAGAGAGGACGGCAUCAGGAAAGGACGUAAGGUGUCGGUAAACUUGGAGUGUUGA